rnacentral:tRNA from 1 species
GCACAGGUGGGUGAGCGGUUAAAACCGACAGACUGUAAAUCUGUUGCCCUUCAGGGCUACGGAGGUUCGAAUCCUCCCCUGUGCACCA